UCUCCGUUGGUGAACCAGCGGAGGGAUCAUUACCGAGUUUACAACUCCCAAACCCCUGUGAACAUACCAUUUGUUGCCUCGGCGGUGCCUGCUUCGGCAGCCCGCCAGAGGACCCAAACCCUUGAUUUUAUACAGUAUCUUCUGAGUAAAUGAUUAAAUAAAUCAAAACCUUCAACAACGGAUCUCUUGGUUCUG
rnacentral:misc_RNA from 1 species